CGUAACUCGAGACACGGAUAAUAGCGACUUUCAGGCGAGCGCUUUCCGCCGCCGCCUGCCUGCGCCCUGCACUUUUUGCAAAAAUCGCGCUAAUGCAUUUCGAAUUAGGUUUAGCAAGCAGAGUGCAGACAAAUCGGGCGGGCAGGCAGGCAGGGCGCGGCUCGCCUGGGCGGCAGCAGCAGCACAGAGAGGAAGGAAAGCGCUCUAGAAGGUUGUGGGAAGGGAGCGUUGCGGGUGCCCGCGUGCAGUAAACAUAGCCGCACCCAACAAUUGACGUUUCUGUCUGCUACAAGAAAUUUCAAUGAAGAACGAAAUUUCAAUGAACUGCAUGAAAAUCCAUUGAUGUAUAGUCCUGUGCAGCUUAAACAAAUGAACAACUGGUCUCCUACUCCAUUGCCAGACACUAAAGGAGCUCCAAGGGCGUGGAAAGGAAACACAGCAACAGCAAAACCUCAAGAAACCUACACGUCUAACAUCAAGACAGCUUGGAAUCCGGUCAUGUUUUUCACUCCUAGAAAUGUUUAUGGCUUUAUGGACUCAGAAACACUCCAGAUUACUUUGAAGACACAUUGGAUGUUGUUUAUGCUGGCAAGGAAUCCCAAAUUGUUUCAGCCAAACUUCCUCUUGCACUCGCUUAAGACCGCGGCAUGCUUGCGCCGAGUUACGGCUUCAGCUUCGCUUAGCCAGCUCGUUAAGUGCUGCUUUUCUCCGACAAUUCGGAAUCCACCUCAGGCAACGAGGAAGGAAUCAUUAAUAAGUUGGGGGGGAUUCUUUCUCACCCCUCUCUCAAGUGAUCAGUCAGCCACCAAGAUAGGGAGGUGGAUAAGUAUGCUAGCCAUGGGAAGCUUCCAUUAGGGCUGCAAAUGCAAUAUGUUUAGGUGAAGGAUGUUCCUAAACGGCACAAGUGCACAUCCCCAGCUCUCAGUAAAAUUCCUUUAAUUAAUAUUAUUCUUAAAAGGACUAAUUUUUAAUCUUGUCAGUAAAUUGCCACCACCCAGAUUAAGGUAAGAGUUGGGAUAGUGGACCAUGCAUGGAAAGCCAUUUGUAGGGAGUUGAGAACCGGUGAGUUUCAUCCUUUUCUUCUGCUUGAGAUGCCCAGAAGCAAUUGGUGAUCCUCUGUGUAAGACAGAUGCUGGAAUAGAUGGGCUGUGGCUGAUCCAAUAGAGCUUCUCUUAUGUUCUCAUUAAUUUUAUUUAUUUGCAUUUUUCCAUUUUUAUCCUACUCAAUACCUGAAGGUAUCUAUCAGGGCAGGUUACAGUAAUAAAAGCAAAAUAUAAAAUGAACA
ensembl:lncRNA